UAGGGGGCGAGCGUUAUCCGGAUUCUUUGGGCGUAAAGCGCGCGUAGGCGGCCCGGCAGGCCGGGGGUAGAAGCGGGGGGCUCAACCCCCCGAAGCCCCCGGAACCUCCGCGGUCUUGGGUCGCGGUAGGGGAGGGUGGAACACCCGGUGUAGCGGUGGAAUGCGCAGAUUAGGAUGGAACACCGGUGGCGAAGGCGGCCCUCUGGGCCGAGACCGACGCUGAGGCGCGAAAGCUGGGGGAGGGAACAGGAAUUGAUUACCUGGUAGUUCCCAGCCGUAAACGAUGGACGGUUAGGUGUGGGGGGACGAUCCCCCCGUGCCGCAGCCAACGCAUUAAGCGUCCCGCCUGGGGAGUACGGCCGCAAGGCUAAAAAUCAAAGGAAUUGACGGGGGCCCGCACAAGCAGCGGAGCAUGAGGCUUAAUUUGAAGCAACGCGAAGAACCUUACCAGGGCUUGACAUAUGGGUGAAGCGGGGGAGACCCCGUGGCCGAGAGGAGCCCAUACAGGUGGUGCAUGGCUGUCGUCAGCUCGUGUCGUGAGAUGUUGGGUUAAGUCCCGCAACGAGCGCAACCCCCGCCGCGUGUUGCCAUCGGGUGAUGCCGGGAACCCACGCGGGACCGCCGCCGUCAAGGCGGAGGAGGGCGGGGGCGACGUCAAGUCAUCAUGCCCCUUAUGCCCUGGGCUGCACACGUGCUACAAUGGCCGGUACAGAGGGAUGCCACCCCGCGAGGGGGAGCGGAUCCCGGAAAGCCGGCCCCAGUUCGGAUUGGGGGCUGCAACCCGCCCCCACGAAGUCGGAGUUGCUAGUAAUCGCGGAUCAGCAUGCCGCGGUGAAAAAGGGCCCGGGCCUUGUACU
rnacentral:rRNA from 1 species